AGCUCCAAUAGCGUAUAUUAAAGUUGCUGCAGUUAAAAAGCUCGUAGUUGGAUUUCUGGCUUGGUGCGCCUGGCCCACCUCGGUUACGAGUGUGAGUGCCGGUGCGCGCCUGCCAUCCUUCUAGAGAUCCAUCUCGCCCUUUACUGGGUUGGGGUGGCGAUCUAGAUCGAUUACUUUGAAAAAAUUAGAGUGUUUAAAGCAGGCGUUUGCUAUGAAUAUAUUAGCAUGGAAUAAUAAUUUAGGACUUCGGUUCUAUUUUGUUGGUUUCUAGGACUGAAGUAAUGAUUGAUAGGGAUAGUUGGGGGUGCUAGUAUUCAGUGGCCAGAGGUGAAAUUCUUGGAUUCACUGAAGACUAACUUAUGCGAAAGCAUUCACCAAGGAUGUCUUCU
rnacentral:rRNA from 1 species